rnacentral:rRNA from 1 species
GACGAACGCUGGCGGCGUGCCUAAUACAUGAAAGUAGAACGCAGUUGCGAACGGGUGAGUAACGCGUAGGUAACUGACUCAUAGCGUGGGAUAACUAUUGGAAACGAUAGCUAAUACCGCAUACUGUGAGAUGGCCCUGCGUUGUAUUAGCUAGUUGGUGAGGUAAAGGCUCAAAAAGGCGACGGUACAUAGCCGACCAGAGAGGGUGAUCGGACACCCUGUGACUGAGACACGUUCCAGACUCCUACGGGAGGCAGCAGUGGGGAUUAUUGCACAAUGGGCGCAAGCCUGAUGCAGCCAUGCCGCGUGUAUGAAGAAGGCCUUCGGGUUGUAAAGUACUUUCAGCGGGGAGGCGGUACCCGCAGAAGAAGCACCGGCUAACUCCGUGCCAGCCGCCGCGGUAAUAC